rnacentral:ribozyme from 14 species
AUAAGGAUGAGAAAUAUGUGAAUCAUUUCCUUUUAUUUAUUCAUUUCUUUUUUCUUUUCUUUUUUGCAGUGAUCCUUCCCAAUCAUCAAACUGCAUACAGUUUGAUGAUUGGAAAAGAUGGAUGGGCAAAAAGUUCUGACGGGGCAGAAUAG